AACGAACGCUGGCGGCAUGCCUACACAUGCAAGUCGAACGAGAUCUUCGGGUCUAGUGGCGCACGGGUGCGUAACGCAUGGGAAUCUGCCCUUUGGUUCGGAAUAACAGUUGGAAACGACUGCUAAUACCGGAUGAUGACGCAAGUCCAAAGAUUUAUCGCCAGAGGAUGAGCCCGCGUAGGAUUAGCUAGUUGGUGUGGUAAAGGCGCACCAAGGCGACGAUCCUUAGCUGGUCUGAGAGGAGGAUCAGCCACACUGGGACUGAGACACGGCCCAGACUCCUACGGGAGGCAGCAGUGGGGAAUAUUGGACAAUGGGCGAAAGCCUGAUCCAGCAAUGCCGCGUGAGUGAUGAAGGCCUUAGGGUUGUAAAGCUCUUUUACCCGGGAUGAUAAUGACAGUACCGGGAGAAUAAGCUCCGGCUAACUCCGUGCCAGCAGCCGCAGUAA
rnacentral:rRNA from 1 species